rnacentral:lncRNA from 1 species
GACUGAGCGACUUCACUUUCACUUUUCACUUUCAUGCAUUGGAGAAAAAAUUGGCAACCCACUCCAGUGUUCUUGCCUGGAGAAUCCCAGGGACGAGGGAGCCUGGUGGGCUGCCAUCUAUGGGGUUGCACAGAGUCGGACACGACUGAGUGACUUAGCAGCAGCAGCAGCAGCAGAGAAAUCAUAACCUGAGUAAAGAGCAACCUGAUUUAAUUGUAAAUAGAAGUUCUGAUGUUUCCUUAUGGAAGUACAGCAUGAAUCAGUCAUGAAGCCCAAUUUCAACACAAAUCCACUACAAAAAUGCAGUAAGUAUGAAGGUGAAGUUUUGUCCUUUUCAUAUUUUCAUAGAGUUAAGAUACUUAUUCAAUUCACUGAUAGAUAUAGUAAUGAUAAUAGAUUAAACAGUAAAAAUAUAUGAGGAAACAAUUAUUUGACAAUUUAAAUUUGGAUUAAUAUCUGAAUAUAGGUGAUAUGGUAAUGUAAACAUUAAAGGUAACUAGUAAAACUUGAAAGAAUAAGUAAAAAUUGUGCAGAAAAAAAAAAAGAGAAAAUUAGAAUCAAUGCUUAAAGAACCAUCUCGAUAAACUGUGCUGUUAGCUAACUCUAGAAACUAGUUCAAGAGAUAGGGGAAUUAUAAUUAAGCAGAAGACAGCGAUUAGCUUGGAAUGUUUCCAAGAGUAAUUUUGCUUUAAACACAGGGCUUUAUGUGGUUGUUGUUCACUGCUGCUCAGUCACUAAGUCGUGUCUGACUCUUUGCAACC